AACGAACGCUGGCGGCAUGCCUAACACAUGCAAGUCGAACGAGACCUUCGGGCUUAGUGGCGCACGGGUGCGUAACGCGUGGGAAUCUGCCCUUGGGUUCGGAAUAACAGUGAGAAAUUACUGCUAAUACCGGUUGAUGUCUUCGCACCAAAGAUUUGUCGCUCUGGGAUGAGCCCGCGUAGGAUUCGCUGGUUGGUGGGGUACUGGCCUACCAAGGCGACGAUCCUUAGCUGGUCGGAGAGCAUGAUCAGCCACACUGGAACUGAGACACGGCCCAGACUGCUACGCGGGGCAGCAGUGUGGAAUAUUAUGCAAUGAGCGCAAGCCUGGCACAGCCAUGCCGGGUGAGUGGUGAAGGCCUUAGGGUUGUAAAGCCCUUUUACCCGGGAUGAGAAUGACAGUACCGGGUGAAUAAGCACCGGCUAACUCCGUG
rnacentral:rRNA from 1 species